rnacentral:lncRNA from 1 species
GUCUGUAUUUCCGCCGGCGCGAAACGAGCGUAGCUUCCUUGUCGUGUGGCCUCAGUCCUUCGCCGUCCCUCGCCGUCCUUCGCCAUCGCACGCCACCGCACCCCAUCUCUCGAAAUCUGCAGACAUCUUGAUUUUUCCCACGCUGUCUGUCAGGUCUCCGCCGCCACUCGACGCCAGGGCGCCGGGCCUUGUGGGCUGUGCUGCACCUCGGACGGCUUCGCACCAGCCAGCGCCCUCUCUCUCCUGCAGCACUCUGAUCUGCACCCCCUGAGGGGCUUCCACUGUCCGCGGGGUGAGAAUGCCCCUGGGAGUGUCACAUGACUGCCGCCCCAUGUGUGUGAGAGGCGUCCUCUGGGAGAGCAUGGAUCCUGAGGUCCCAGGAUUGUCAGCUGACCUCUGUCCUGUGUGCCCAGUGGCCCCAGGUGACGUGUCUUCAAGAAGAGGCUGAGCUGCGGUGCUUGUAAGGGUCUCAUUCUGUCACCCAGGCUGGAGUGCAGUGGUGCAAUGAUGGCUCACUGCAGCCUCGACCUGGGCUCAAGUGAUCCUCCACCUCAGCUUCCUGAGUAGCUGGGACCACAGAGUCAUGUGCUGUUCCUGGGGCUUGGAUGAUGUAGGGGAAGCAAGGUGAAAGUGGUAUCCCGUGGUUCCACGUUCUGUCCUGCUGUGGGGCUGUCCCUCACAUGCUUUCAGUGGCUGUUGCAGAGGAAGAGCCUCCGGAAAUCUGCGUGGGUCUCAGCCUUAGAUCCAAGGACAGUCCAAGGAAGUCCUAAGACCAUGGAGUUGGUGAUCUGGGAUCUGGGUUUGCUGAUAUUUCUCACCGUGAAUCUCUUGGUGGUGUUUGUGGGCACGAGAGGGGCAGAGAAUGGAGAGUGAGGCUACCACAUGAAGCGUCACCAGAGCUGCUCCCUGCUGCCUGCUCAGAGCACCCCGGAUCCACUGUUCAAUCUGCACAAGAUUCGGGGUCCAGACAUGGGAGACUUCAGCUGCCUCAGAGGACCGUGGACAGGGAAGGCCAGCCUCGCAUCCCUCUGUCCAUGCCUGGAAUGACUUUAAUAACCAAGAGUUUUAUUUUUGAAUUUGUAGCUGUCGUUCACUUUUUACCCACCCAUUCAAUAAACCUUACAGAAUUGCUCCA